CGCUAGACAAUGUAUACUUACUGUGUACUUACAAAAUAUAAUAUUAUAUCUACACUUUGGAUUCUGAGCGUACAUAAUGUAUUGGGAGAAAGUAGUUAUAAUUUUUAUUGUGUAUGUACUUGUGAAUUUUGUUCGUUUAUACCGCGCGAACGAACCAAAUACAACGGGAAUAUUAUUAACAUUUCUUGGCGAAAAUGGACUUGUAAAACCAUUUUUUUUUUUUUUUUUUUUUUUCUAGAUCCCACGUACAGAUAAAGAGUGCCGAGUUAUGAUAGCGGUUAAAACGAGAAUAAUAAAUCGUAUAAUACGGUUGUACAAUGACGCGGUCGCAUUCGGUUAUAAUAAUAUCCACGUGUUUGUUUUUUUUUUUUUUUCG